CCUACGGGGUGCUGCAGUGAGGAAUAUUGGUCAAUGGGCGGACGCCUGAACCAGCCAAGUAGCGUGCGGGAUGACUGCCCUACGGGUCGUAAACCGCUUUUGCAAGGGGAUAACACCCUCCACUUGUGGAGGUCUUCAGGUACCCUGAGGAUAAGGGCCGGCAAAUUCCGUGCCAGCCGCCGCGGUAAUACGGAAGGCACGAGCGUUAUCCGGAUUCAUUGGGCUUAAAGGGAGCGUAGGCGGGCGUUCAAGUCAGCUGUAAAAUCGCGCGGCUCAACCGCGCCCCGCAGUUGAAACUGGACGUCUUGAGUGCACAACAGGCAGGCGGAAUUCGUGGUGUAGCGGUGAAAUGCAUAGAUAUCACGAAGAACCCCGAUUGCGAAGGCAGCAUGCCGGGGUGCGACUGACGCUGAGGCUCGAAGGUGCGGGUAUCAAACAGGAUUAGAUACCCGGGUAGUC
rnacentral:rRNA from 1 species